UACGGGGGGAGCAAGCGUUGUUCGGAUUUACUGGGCGUAAAGGGCGCGUAGGCGGCCUGGCAAGUGGAAGGUGAAAUCCCUCGGCUUAACCGAGGAACUGCCUCCCAAACUGCUUGGCUUGAGACCAGGAGAGGUGAGUGGAAUUCCCAGUGUAGCGGUGAAAUGCGUAGAUAUUGGGAGGAACACCAGUGGCGAAGGCGGCUCACUGGACUGGUACUGACGCUGAGUGCGCGAAAGCGUGGGG
rnacentral:rRNA from 1 species